rnacentral:rRNA from 1 species
AUUGAACGCUGGCGGCAGGCUUAACACAUGCAAGUCGAGCGGGCGAGGUUGCUUCGGUAACUGAGCUAGCGGCGGACGGGUGAGUAAUGCUUAGGAAUCUGCCUAUUAGUGGGGGACAACAUUCCGAAAGGAAUGCUAAUACCGCAUACGCCCUACGGGGGAAAGCAGGGGAUCUUCGGACCUUGCGCUAAUAGAUGAGCCUAAGUCAGAUUAGCUAGUUGGUGGGGUAAAGGCCUACCAAGGCGACGAUCUGUAGCGGGUCUGAGAGGAUGAUCGGCCACACUGGGACGGAGACACGGCCCGGACUCCUCCGGGAGGCAGCAGUGGGGAAUGUUGGACAAUGGGCGGAAGCCUGAUCUAGCCAUGCCGCGUGUGUGAAGAAGGCCUUUUGGUUGUAAAGCACUUUAAGCGAGGAGGAGGCUACUUGGAUUAAUACUCUAGGAUAGUUGACGUUACUCGCAGAAUAAGCACCGGCUAAAUCUGUGCCAGCAGCCGCGGUAA